rnacentral:lncRNA from 1 species
UAUUCGAGCAGUCCCACGUCUACACCAAGGAGUCGUCAAUCGCCGUCAACUCGAAAGCUUACUUCCACCGCCUUUUCACCUACCUUGACACUGGCGUUGACGACUCGAAUGGUGGAUCGGGGAUCUGAAGGACGUCCUCUUCAACUUUACCAAGCGGCUCACAUGGCAAGACGAAGAGACUGUAGAAAAACUGUUAGCCAAGGUUGAAAAGAUGCACAUCUCGUUCGUCAUUCCGGCGUCACUGCUGCAUGAGCCCAACGUCUUCAAUGGACGUGCGAGAGCUACGACGUGAAGUUCGCCGCACUGCCACCCAUAUUGCACUUCGUCGAAGCCAAGGCAACCGUGCUUCGAAGCCACUGGAAUCAUGUGCAUACGGGAAUCUCUCUGUGUACCAGCAUCGUAUUUUGGAGAAGUUCUCAAGGCUCCACCAGUUCUGA